GGGGUUGUGGCUCAGCGGUAGAGCACUCGCCUAGCAUGUGCAAGGUUCUGGGUUCAAUCCUCAGCAACACAU
rnacentral:tRNA from 1 species